rnacentral:rRNA from 1 species
UCGUUCGUAAUGCAUUAGCAUCCGCAAUCGAACUUCGGAUUGACUUGGCGUAAUAGACUAUUCGCUGAGGAAUUCUAAUCUUCGGAUUAGAGCCGGGUUAGGUUAAAGGAAGCUUCUAAUCAGAAUGUCUACAUUUUAAGAUUAGAUCUCAAAUCAGGUAGGACUACCCGCUGAACUUAAGCAUAUCAAUAAGCGGAGGAAAAGAAACUAACAAGGAUUCCCCUAGUAGCGGCGAGCGAAGCGGGAAGAGCUCAAAUUUAUAAUCUGGCACCUUCGGUGUCCGAGUUGUAAUCUCUAGAAAUGUUUUCCGCGCUGGACCGCACACAAGUCUGUUGGAAUACAGCGGCAUAGUGGUGAGACCCCCGUAUAUGGUGCGGAUGCCCAGCGCUUUGUGAUACAUUUUCGAAGAGUCGAGUUGUUUGGGAAUGCAGCUCAAAUUGGGUGGUAAAUUCCAUCUAAAGCUAAAUAUUGGCGAGAGACCGAUAGCGAACAAGUACCGUGAGGGAAAGAUGAAAAGCACUUUGGAAAGAGAGUUAACAGUACGUGAAAUUGUUGGAAGGGAAACGCUUGAAGUCAGACUUGCUUGCCGAGCAAUCGGUUUGCAGGCCAGCAUCAGUUUUCCGGGAUGGAUAAUGGUAGAGAGAAGGUAGCAGUUUCGGCUGUGUUAUAGCUCUCUACUGGAUACAUCUUGGGGGACUGAGGAACGCAGUGUGCCUUACGGCGGGGGUUUCGACCUCUUCACACUUAGGAUGCUGGUGGAAUGGCUUUAAACGACCCGUCUUGAAACACGGACCAAGGAGUCUAACAUGCUUGCGAGUAUUUGGGUGUCAAACCCGGAUGCGUAAUGAA